rnacentral:rRNA from 1 species
UACGGGGGGGGCAAGCGUUGUUCGGAAUUACUGGGCGUAAAGGGUUCGUAGGUGGCUUGUUAAGUCAGACGUGAAAUCCCUCGGCUUAACCGGGGAACUGCGUCUGAUACUGGAUGGCUUGAGGUUGGGAGAGGGAUGCGGAAUUCCAGGUGUAGCGGUGAAAUGCGUAGAUAUCUGGAGGAACACCGGUGGCGAAGGCGGCAUCCUGGACCAAUUCUGACGCUGAGUGAGCGAAAGCCAGGGGAGCAAACGGG